GUUUUUCCCAGAGCACAGAAUGCUUCAUUCCGGAUCUCCAUCCUGAACUCCUUUCAGGGCUGUUGAAGGUCAGCAGUGGCAGUGGUUCCUAAUUCAGUCCUUGUGGAGGUGGAUGGCAAGUGCCAAUUUGCAGGAAGUGGGUGUGAAGAGCCCCCUGUGCUGCUCUGAACUGUCGAGACCGUUGUUGGCACUGUUUCCUCUACAGAGCCUGAUCUGGCCCUCGGGAUGGAAGGACCAGGUAAGGCUGCCCGGCCGCCAGGGAGCAGUCCUACAGCUCAUCUCUUACCAAGGGUCACCUGCGGGUCGGGUGAGGUCAUGGAUGAAUGUGGCAGGGGAAA